GAUGAACGCUAGCUACAGGCUUAACACAUGCAAGUCGAGGGGCAGCAUGGUCUUAGCUUGCUAAGGCCGAUGGCGACCGGCGCACGGGUGAGUAACACGUAUCCAACCUGCCGUCUACUCUUGGACAGCCUUCUGAAAGGAAGAUUAAUACAAGAUGGCAUCAUGAGUCCGCAUGUUCACAUGAUUAAAGGUAUUCCGGUAGACGAUGGGGAUGCGUUCCAUUAGAUAGUAGGCGGGGAAACGGCCCACCAAGCCUUCGAUGAUUAGGGGUUCGGAGAGGAAGGUCCCCCACAUUGGAACUGAGACACGGUCCAAACUCCUACGGGAGGCAGCAGUGAGGAAUAUUGGUCAAUGGGCGAGAGCCUGAACCAGCCAAGUAGCGUGAAGGAUGACUGCCCUAUGGGUUGUAAACUUCUUUUAUAAAGGAAUAAAGUCGGGUAUGGAUACCCGUUUGCAUGUACUUUAUGAAUAAGGAUCGGCUAACUCCGUG
rnacentral:rRNA from 1 species